rnacentral:rRNA from 1 species
GACGAACGCUGGCGGCGUGCUUAACACAUGCAAGUCGAACGGAAAGGCCCUGCUUUUGUGGGGUGCUCGAGUGGCGAACGGGUGAGUAACACGUGAGUAACCUGCCCCUGACUUUGGGAUAACUUCAGGAAACUGGGGCUAAUACCGGAUAGGAGCUCCUGCUGCAUGGUGGGGGUUGGAAAGUUUCGGCGGUUGGGGAUGGACUCGCGGCUUAUCAGCUUGUUGGUGGGGUAGUGGCUUAGCAAGGCCUUGACGGGUAGCCGGCCUGAGAGGGUGACAGGCCACAUUGGGACUGAGAUACGGCCCAGACUCCUACGGGAGGCAGCAGUGGGGAAUAUUGCACAAUGGGCGGAAGCCUGAUGCAGCAACGCAGCGUGCGGGAUGACGGCCUUCGGGUUGUAAACCGCUUUCGCCUGUGACGAAGCGUGAGUGACGGUAAUGGGUAAAGAAGCACCGGCUAACUACGUG